rnacentral:rRNA from 1 species
UACGGAGGGGGCUAGCGUUGUUCGGAAUUACUGGGCGUAAAGCGCACGUAGGCGGCUUUGUAAGUUGGAGGUGAAAGCCCGGAGCUCAACUCCGGAAUUGCCUUUAAGACUGCAUCGCUUGAAUCAUGGAGAGGUGAGUGGAAUUCCGAGUGUAGAGGUGAAAUUCGUAGAUAUUCGGAAGAACACCAGUGGCGAAGGCGACUCACUGGACAUGUAUUGACGCUGAGGUGCGAAAGCGUGGGGAGCAAACAGG